GCAGGCGCGCGCCCAACGGCUUUGCGAGGCUCACUCGGUCUGAGAGGUCGGAGGCUGCGAGUGUCGCUGCUGAAGGCUGUGGUGGACCGGGCUGGAUCGCGGAUUGUGGAGUAGAUUAUAGAUUUGAAAUAGCGGAGUUGGGGUUGGAUCGGGGCUUUGGGGUUGGAUAGGGGAUUUGGGGCUGGGUCGGCCGGGGUCGGGGAGGGGGGUGGUGAAAAGGUGACAGGGAGCUGCCCUCGCUCAAGAGCCGGUGGUUGGGGGUCUGAGAAGAAGUCACCAAUAUGAAGUUAUUCGGCUUCGGGAGCCGCAGGGGCCAGACGGCCCAGGGCUCCAUAGACCACGUCUACACGGGUUCCGGAUACCGAAUCCGGGACUCCGAACUGCAGAAGAUCCACAGGGCAGCUGUCAAAGGCGACGCCGCGGAGGUGGAGCGCUGCUUGGCGCGCAGGAGCGGAGAACUGGACGCCCUGGACAAGCAGCACAGAACUGCUCUACACUUGGCCUGUGCCAGUGGCCAUGUGCAAGUGGUCACUCUCCUGGUUAACAGAAAAUGCCAGAUUGAUGUCUGUGACAAAGAAAACAGAACGCCUUUGAUACAGGCUGUCCAUUGCCAGGAAGAGGCUUGUGCCGUUAUUCUGCUGGAACAUGGCGCCAAUCCAAACCUUAAGGAUAUCUACGGCAACACUGCUCUCCAUUAUGCCGUGUAUAGUGAGAGCACCUCACUGGCAGAAAAACUGCUUUCCCAUGGUGCACAUAUUGAAGCACUGGACAAGGACAAUAAUACCCCACUUUUAUUUGCUAUAAUUUGCAAGAAAGAGAAAAUGGUGGAAUUUUUAUUGAAAAAGAAAGCAAGUUCACAUGCCGUUGAUAGGCUGAGACGGUCAGCUCUCAUGCUUGCUGUAUACUAUGACUCACCAGGUAUUGUCAAUAUCCUUCUUAAGCAAAAUAUUGAUGUCUUCGCUCAAGACAUGUGUGGACGAGAUGCAGAAGAUUAUGCUAUUUCUCAUCAUUUGACAAAAAUUCAACAACAAAUUUUGGAACAUAAAAAGAAGAUACUUAAAAAGGAGAAAUCAGAUGUUGGAAGUUCUGAUGAAUCUGCAGUCAGCAUUUUCCAUGAACUGCGUGUGGAUUCAUUGCCUGCAUCGGAUGACAAAGACUUGAAUGUUGCUACUAAGCAGUGUGUCCCCGAGAAAGUGUCAGAGCCUUUACCUGGAUCUUCGCAUGAAAAAGGAAACAGAAUAGUCAAUGGACAAGGAGAAGGGCCUCCUGCAAAACAUCCUUCCUUGAAGCCUAGCACUGAAGUGGAAGAUCCUGCUGUGAAAGGAGCAGUACAAAGAAAGAAUGUACAGACAUUGAGAGCAGAACAAGCCUUACCAGUGGCUUCAGAGGAAGAGCAACAAAGGCAUGAAAGAAGUGAAAAGAAGCAACCACAGGUCAAAGAAGGAAAUAAUACAAACAAAAGUGAAAAAAUACAACUUUCAGAAAAUAUAUGUGAUAGUACAUCUUCUGCUGCUGCUGGCAGAUUAACCCAACAAAGAAAGAUUGGGAAAACGUAUCCUCAGCAAUUUCCCAAGAAGCUGAAGGAAGAGCAUGAUAGAUGCACCUUAAAACAAGAAAAUGAAGAAAAAACAAAUGUUAAUAUGCUGUACAAAAAAAAUAGAGAAGAAUUAGAAAGGAAAGAGAAACAAUAUAAGAAAGAAGUUGAAGCAAAACAACUUGAACCAACUGUUCAGUCACUAGAGAUGAAAUCAAAGACUGCAAGAAAUACUCCAAAUUGGGAUUUUCAUAAUCAUGAAGAAAUGAAAGGUCUGAUGGAUGAAAAUUGCAUUUUGAAGGCAGAUAUUGCUAUACUCAGACAGGAAAUAUGUACAAUGAAAAAUGACAACUUGGAAAAAGAAAAUAAAUAUCUUAAGGACAUUAAAAUUGUUAAAGAAACAAAUGCUGCCCUUGAAAAGUAUAUAAAACUCAAUGAGGAAAUGAUAACAGAAACAGCAUUCCGGUAUCAACAAGAGCUUAAUGAUCUCAAGGCUGAGAAUACAAGGCUCAAUGCCGAACUGUUGAAGGAAAAAGAAAGCAAGAAAAGACUGGAAGCUGACAUUGAAUCUUAUCAGUCUAGACUGGCUGCUGCUAUAAGCAAACACAGUGAAAGUGUGAAAACAGAAAGAAACCUAAAACUUGCUUUAGAGAGAACACAAGAUGUUUCUGUACAAGUAGAAAUGAGUUCUGCUAUUUCCAAAGUAAAAGAUGAGAAUGAGUUUCUUACUGAACAACUUUCUGAAACACAAAUUAAAUUCAAUGCCUUAAAAGAUAAGUUCCGUAAGACAAGAGAUAGUCUCAGAAAAAAGUCAUUGGCUUUAGAAACUGUACAAAACAACCUAAGCCAAACACAGCAGCAAACACAGGAAAUGAAAGAGAUGUAUCAAAAUGCAGAAGCUAAAGUGAAUAAUUCCACUGGAAAGUGGAACUGUGUAGAAGAGAGGAUAUGUCACCUCCAACGUGAAAAUGCGUGGCUUGUACAGCAACUAGAUGACGUUCAUCAGAAAGAGGAUCAUAAAGAGAUAGUAACUAAUAUCCAAAGAGGCUUUAUUGAGAGUGGAAAGAAAGACUUCGUGCUAGAAGAGAAAAGUAAGAAGCUAAUGAAUGAAUGUGAUCAUUUAAAAGAAAGUCUCUUUCAGUAUGAGAGAGAGAAAACAGAAGUAGUAGUAAGUAUCAAGGAAGAUAAAUAUUUUCAAACUUCUAGAAAGAAAAUUUAAACAUUUGGUUCUGGAUACAUGUUGAACUUAGUUGAAUAUAAAAAUCUAGAUUAAAAGUGUGUUUACCAUACUGUAUAAUUCCAUUUACAUGAAGCAUCCAGAAAAGAUAAAUGUAUAGGGACAAAAAGUAGAUUCAUGUUUGCAAGGGGCUGGGGCUGGAAGCUGGUAGUGACUGCUAAUGGGCAUGAGGAAUCUUACAGUGAUGGAAAUGCUCUAAAGUUGGAUUGUAGAGAUGGCUGCACAACUCAGUAAAUGUACUAAAAAUCUUUUAACUUUAAGUUAAAACAGAUACAUUCUAUAGUAUGUAAAUUAUAUUUCAACAAAGCUGUUUUAAUAAAAAAAGGAAAAAUGUGUUUACUAUAUCGGCUUAGAAACAUGCCUCAUUUCUAGGAAAUAAAAGAUAGAGGUGAGAGAUGAUUUACUUUGAGAAAAGACAUUGUGUCACCUAUGAAAUUUUAUUAGGCACAGAGUCAUAUUUUAAGGUAGAUAGUUCUGUACUGCUGAAAUAGUAAUUUUAAUGUCUUUAUGUUGCCACAUGUUAAGACCAUAAUGUAGUUAUAAAUGGAAAUGUUUACACCUGAAGUGAGUAUUUUCAAAUUAAAAUUUAAUUAAGUGAUUUUCUUCGACACUUAAUUCUAGAUUCCCCAGAUGAAUUGAAGUGUAUUGCUGUGUCUUGUAAUACCUUGCUUUAACUAGCUUUUUAUGUAUUUUAGUUGGUAUAGCUUUGUUAUUAUUCAUAUUAACAAAUCUGAAAAUAUGUCAAAUUACGUAUUUUUAUGACCACGUAAUGUUUUAAAGGCACCUACUGGUUAUAAAAUCAUAAUUUAGGAUAAAUGUGGUAAAACUUAGCAAAACUAUAUUUGGUUUAGUUUUCCCACUGGUAUUUAUAGUUUACUUUGAAUAUUUAUAUUAAUAAUUAGCUCAUAAUUUUUA
ensembl:lncRNA ANKRD20A5P ankyrin repeat domain 20 family member A5, pseudogene